AGGACGAACGCUGGCGGCGUGCUUAACACAUGCAAGUCGAGCGGUAAGGCCCCUUCGGGGGUACACGAGCGGCGAACGGGUGAGUAACACGUGAGUAACCUGCCCCUGACUCUGGGAUAAGCCCGGGAAACCGGGUCUAAUACCGGAUACGACUUCUCACCGCAUGGUGGGGGGUGGAAAGGUUUGUUCCGGUUGGGGAUGGGCUCGCGGCCUAUCAGCUUGUUGGUGGGGUGAUGGCCUACCAAGGCGAUGACGGGUAGCCGGCCUGAGAGGGCGACCGGCCACACUGGGACUGAGACACGGCCCAGACUCCUGCGGGAGGCAGCAGUGGGGAAUAUUGCGCAAUGGGCGGAAGCCUGACGCAGCCGACGCCGCGUGGGGGAUGACGGCCUUCGGGUUGUAAACCUCUUUCACCACUCACGAAGGCUCCCAGUGUUCUGGGGGUUGACGGUAGGUGGUGAAUAAGGACCGGCUAACUACGUGCCAGCAGCGGC
rnacentral:rRNA from 1 species